GACAGAGGGUGCAAACGUUGUUCGGAAUUACUGGGCGUAAAGCGUGUGUAGGCGGUCCGCUAAGUCGGGUGUGAAAGCCCUGGGCUCAACCCAGGAAGUGCACUCGAAACUGGCGGGCUAGAGUACUGGAGAGGUUGGUGGAAUUCUCGGUGUAGAGGUGAAAUUCGUAGAUAUCGAGAGGAACACCGGUGGCGAAGGCGGCCAACUGGACAGAUACUGACGC
rnacentral:rRNA from 1 species